rnacentral:rRNA from 1 species
UACGUAGGGUGCAAGCGUUGUCCGGAAUUAUUGGGCGUAAAGAGCUCGUAGGCGGUUUGUCGCGUCUGCUGUGAAAACUCGGGGCUUAACCCCGGGCCUGCAGUGGGUACGGGCAGACUAGAGUGUGGUAGGGGAGACUGGAAUUCCUGGUGUAGCGGUGAAAUGCGCAGAUAUCGGGAGGAACACCUGUGGCGAAAGCGGCGCACUGGACCACAACUGACGCUGAGGCGCGAAAGCUAGGGGAGCAAACAGG